ensembl:lncRNA
AUGCAUUAUGCAUCUGCUGUGCACUUUGCUAUCUUAUUUAAUAUACUAUUUCUUAUGUACUAGAUAGAACAAAUGUGAAGUUCCUAGAGGCUGGGCACUGUCUUGUUUGUUCUAGGUCAUCUUUUCCAUAGCCUCUUAGUGUCUUUCAGAAGAUAUCCUGGCAGGCUACAGUCCCAGGGUGAUACACACCAAAUAGUUACUACAUUUAGACAACCAGCCUUUGUCGAGUACUUGCUCUAUGACUGUGUUUGGAUUUGGUUUAUUUUAUGUUUCUCAAAGAGAUAAUGUGUUUCUCACAAUGGAUUUUCCAAAAUGUACCAUGUCAACCUGGCCUUAAAGGAUGACUUUAUUGCUAAGUCUGUAUGACAGAAUCAUGUCUGGAACAUUUUUUUUUUUUUCUGUUUUCUCUUGAGUAUAAACUUGACUUUGAUGUUGCACUUUUAAAAUAUGUGUUCUUUUUGGAAAUUCCAGUCAAGAACCUUGACCCUAGAUCCUCAUUUGUGUAAGAAAAGGCUUGUGAGGCCUGUGAGCUACCUGAACCCUUGAGUCCAACCAGUUCUUACCACUACACAGGUCUCCUAAGAUACUGCUUUCCAAAGGUUCAGAUGCCCUCUAAGGAGAUCCCAGAAUAUUUCUUCCCUCCUCACUCACCUGGAUCAGUGACAAGGAAAAUAUUCUUUGCUUUGCCACACUGACUCGAUGGACGUGAGUCUGAGUGAACUCCGGGAGUUGGUGAUGGACAGGGAGGCCUGGCGUGCUGUGAUUCAUGGGGUCGCAAAGAGUCGGACACGACUGAGCAACUGAACUGAACUGAACUGAAGGCUGAAGAAACAGAAUUUCCAACAGAAAUUUUCCUCUUAUCUUUUUGUACAUGUUCAUUUGCACAAUAUCCCUUGUUUGAGUGACAGUAUCCUUUGUUUUGUGUGAAGUACAAGCAAGAAUUUGGUUCAGCAAGUGGUGAAAUCUGUUCAUUCCUAAAUUUUAAUGCCUUUUUGUGGUGUUGGAUUUCUAAGGCACUUUAUUCCUUUGUCUUGUGUUUCAUUGUAAAUGAUAUAGGCAGAGAUGAUAUCUAAUUAUGCAUUUGUCAUUGUUUACACAUGCAU